rnacentral:rRNA from 1 species
GGCAGCGCGGGGCAACCUGGCGGCGAGUGGCGAACGGGUGAGUAAUAUAUCGGAACGUACCCAAGAGUGGGGGAUAACGUAGCGAAAGUUACGCUAAUACCGCAUACGAUCCAAGGAUGAAAGCAGGGGAUCUUCGGACCUUGUGCUCCUGGAGCGGCCGAUAUCUGAUUAGCUAGUUGGUGAGGUAAAGGCUCACCAAGGCCACGAUCAGUAGCUGGUCUGAGAGGACGACCAGCCACACUGGAACUGAGACACGGUCCAGACUCCUACGGGAGGCAGCAGUGGGGAAUUUUGGACAAUGGGCGAAAGCCUGAUCCAGCAAUGCCGCGUGAGUGAAGAAGGCCUUCGGGUUGUAAAGCUCUUUUGUCAGGGAAGAAACGGUGAGGGCUAAUAUCCUUCGCUAAUGACGGUACCUGAAGAAUAAGCACCGGCUAACUACGUGCCAGCAGCCGCGGUAAUACGUAGGGUGCAAGCGUUAAUCGGAAUUACUGGGCGUAAAGCGUGCGCAGGCGGUUUUGUAAGUCUGACGUGAAAUCCCCGGGCUCAACCUGGGAAUUGCGUUGGAGACUGCAAGGCUAGAAUCUGGCAGAGGGGGGUAGAAUUCCACGUGUAGCAGUGAAAUGCGUAGAGAUGUGGAGGAACACCGAUGGCGA